rnacentral:lncRNA from 1 species
UGGCCCUAGGUCUUCAAUCCUCUUCAAAACUCAUCUCCUUCAAAACUCACAGAUCUCCAGCCAUUCCUAUCCAGCCUCACCUCCUCCACCUCCGCCUCCACCGCCUCCACCUCCGCCGCCCUGCUCCACCUCCUCCUCCUCCACCUCUGCCUCCACCGCCUCCGCCCCCACCACGUCGGCCUCCACCUCCACCUCGUCGACCUCCACCUCAGCCGCACCCCCACCUCGUCGACCUCCACCUCAACCGCACCCCAACCAUCUGCCGCACCCCCACCAGAACCCUAGUUCAAUCAUCGGCCAAAUCAGAAUCAUAUAGCAACUGCCAUGAUGAAAGUUCGUCUUCUAGUUGCAGCGAAAAGGACGAGUAUGUUCGUUGUUUUGAUUAUCUCUAUAUGUAUCUUUUUAAUGGUGUAUUUAAAGUUUUAAGCGAGUUUAUCGAAGUGAUAUUUGAAUCUGAAACAUACCAAAGUUUGGUAGCAUGAAGGUUGUAAUAUGAUUUAUGAGCAAAUUGUAUAUGUGAAUCACUGAUUUAUGAGCAAAUGGAUAUAUGUGAAUCACUGAUUUUUCCUCUGAUAUAUACAUGUAAUAUGUGAAUGU